AUUGAACGCUGGCGGCAUGCUUUACACAUGCAAGUCGAACGGUAACAGGCCGCAAGGUGCUGACGAGUGGCGAACGGGUGAGUAAUGCAUCGGAACGUGCCCAGUCGUGGGGGAUAACGCAGCGAAAGCUGUGCUAAUACCGCAUACGAUCUGUGGAUGAAAGCGGGGGACCGUAAGGCCUCGCGCGAUUGGAGCUGCCGAUGUCAGAUUAGGUAGUUGGUGGGGUAAAGCCCUACCAAGCCGACGAUCUGUAGCUGGUCUGAGAGGACGACCAGCCACACUGGGACUGAGACACGGCCCAGACUCCUACGGGAGGCAGCAGUGGGGAAUGUUGGACAAUGGUGUCAAGCCUGAUCCAGCAAUGCCGCGUGCAGGAAGAAGGCCUUCGGGUUGUAAACUGCUUUUGUACGGAACGAAACGGUCCGGGUUAAUACCCUGGGCUAAUGACGGUACCGUAAGAAUAAGCACCGGCUAACUACGUGCCAGCCGCCGCAGUAAGAC
rnacentral:rRNA from 1 species